GGAAUGAGCCAGAUGGGAUGAUGACUGUCAUUUUAGAGACUAACGCGCUUCUUGUCUGCGUCUGGAAAUUUCGCUCCUGCAUGACCUUGUGAACUCGCCUGCCGCGUGACGUCGAACAUUCAUUCUUACGGCUCCCCUGAACACCCCUCCACAUCCUUGUGCUCAUUUGUGCAGGCUAUUACCCAAGCAGGAAGUGACAUCAACGGGUCCAAACUAAAAAUAUGUCGCAGGACGGACUGUCUAGGAUGUCCAGGACCGGUGUUUGUAAAGGAGGAUGGCUCGCACCGGCUCCACAAAGUGAUGCUCAUUGAAGGAUGCAGCAGAGCGCCACACAGGCGAGACAGACAGACGCACUGGAGGCUGAACACAGAUUGUCUCCCUGCGGCACGUAUAGUUCUGGGUAGCAUUGAACAGGCCCUCUGUACCACAGGUCCUCUUGUUCCUCCGUCUCAUCUAUCUCUAUCCCUGCAGCUCCUGGCUAUCUUCCCCCGUUCUAUGGUUCCUUCAUGACGGCCCCCUAAUCUCUGCCAGUGUGGUUCCAUGGAUGUACCACGUUUGAGGGGCCAUGAAUAAUGCCAAGAAGCUUAUAGGGAAAAGAAGACGCCACUUCUUCUCUCCAGCUUCCUACCACACAGCUGUACUAUUUCUUCUGCUAGGUGUUCUUGUUCUAGCAGAAGACACUUCUUCAUCUCCAGUAUGUGACCCGCGUGGGACCACAGCAUGAACAAUGAUUUGGUCCCAGUCACUCUACCACCAGAUUGCAACAGAGAUCAGUUUAAUUUUCGUCUGUGAAAGAGGAUGUUUCAGUGUGGAGGUGUUUCUCA